rnacentral:tRNA from 1 species
GGGGUUGUGGCUCAGUAGUAGAGUACUCACCUAGCACGUGACAGGCCCUGGGUUCGAUCCUCAGCACCCCA